UGAGGAAUCUUGCGCAAUGGGGGAAACCCUGACGCAGCAACGCCGCGUGAGUGAGGAAGGCCUUCGGGUCGUAAAGCUCUGUCAGAUGGGAAGAAAUGGGUGGGGGCUAAUAUCGUCCAUCCUUGACGGUACCAUCAGAGGCAGCACCGGCUAACUCCGUGCCAGCAGCCGCGGUAAUACGGGGGGUGCAAGCGUUGUUCGGAAUCAUUGGGCGUAACGCGCGCGCAGGCGGCUUGGUAAGUCAGAUGUGAAAUCCCUGGGCUUAACCCAGGAAGUGCAUUUGAUACUGCCUCGCUAGAGUACGGGAGAGGAAAGUGGAAUUCCUGGUGUAGAGGUGAAAUUCGUAGAUAUCAGGAGGAACACCGGUGGCGAAGGCGACUUUCUGGCCCGAUACUGACGCUCAGGCGCGAAAGCGUGGGGAGCAAACA
rnacentral:rRNA from 1 species